rnacentral:tRNA from 1 species
GUAGGCAUAGUUAAAGUAUAACGUCAGGCUGUGACUCUGCAGUUAGAGGUUAAAAUCCUCUUGCCCACC